AUUGAACGCUGGCGGCAUGCCUUACACAUGCAAGUCGAACGGUAACAGGUCUUCGGAUGCUGACGAGUGGCGAACGGGUGAGUAAUACAUCGGAACGUGCCCGAUCGUGGGGGAUAACGCAGCGAAAGCUGUGCUAAUACCGCAUACGAUCUACGGAUGAACGCGGGGGAUCGCAAGACCGCGCGCGGACGGAUCGGCCGAUGGCAGAUAAGGUAGUUGGUGGGAUAAAAGCUUACCAAGACGACGAUCUGUAGCUGGUCUGAGAGGACGAUCAGCCACACUGGGACUGAGACACGGCCCAGGCUCCUGCGGGAGGCAGCAGUGGGGAAGUUUGGACAAUGGGCGCAAGCCGGAUCCAGCCAUGCCGCGUGCAGGAUGAAGGCCUUCGGGUUGUAAACUGCUUUUGUACGGAACGAAAAAGUUCUCUCUAAUACAGGGGGCGAAUGACGGUACCGUAAGAAUAAGCACCGGCUAACUACGUGCCAGCAGCCGCUGUAAAAC
rnacentral:rRNA from 1 species